UUCUGACCGUAAACGAUGCCAACUAGCGAUCCGUCGGUGGCUUACAGGCCCUGAUGGGGAGCUUCCCGGAAACGAAAGUCUUCCGGUUCCGGGGGAAGUAUGGUUGCAAAGCUGAAACUUAAAGGAAUUGACGGAAGGGCACCACCAGGAGUGGAGCCUGCGGCUUAAUUUGACUCAACACGGGAAAACUCACCCGGCCCGGACACCGUGAGGAUUGACAGAUUGAUAGCUCUUUCAUGAUUCGGUGGUUGGUGGUGCAUGGCCGUUCUUAGUUCGUGGAUCGAUUUGUCUGGUUUAUUCCGAUAACGAGCGAGACUCCAGCCUGCUAACUAGUGCGGGCAUUUCACUGAUGUGCCCCGUACUUCUUAGAGGGAUUGGCUGCGUUCAGCAGCACGAAACGGAGCAAUAACAGGUCUGUGAUGCCCUUAGAUGUCCGGGGCUGCACGCGCGCUACACUGGCAAAGGCAGCGUGCUUGUCCUACUCCGAAAGGAGUUGGUAAACCCUUGAAAAUUUGCCGUGAUUGGGAUCGGAAAUUGCAAUUAUUUUCCGUGAACGAGGAAUUCCAAGUAAGUGCGAGUCAUCAGCUCGCGUUG
rnacentral:rRNA from 1 species